GCUUGUCUAAUAGCCAUUGCAUGGCUUGGAUGUGAAAUAACAAAGUGCCCAAAUAGUAUAAGAUAGUCUGCAUGUGAGAUCUUACUAAAUGAAAUUGAGCAAUUUUUGCAUCCUAGAUCAGAGCUUGAAGGCAGGUUUCUAGCAUGUCUAUGCAUCUAUAACUAUGCUUCUGGCAAAGGUAAUGCCUUUUACAUAAACAUCUCUAUGUAAUAACCAUUUUGCAGUAUCACAAAGCACAAAAGAUUUAAGAUUCAUCUCUACCAUAUAUGCAGAUGAUCAUUGACAUGAAUGAAUACUCAAUCAGCAGUUAGGUUCAUGGGUUCAAUUUCUUUAGUUAAAGAAGUAUUAAGACGAAGGAUGUGAAACGGACAACAAUCUUGCUUCUCCAUCAAUUUGCUUCCAAGGAAGGAUGAUCAAACCAUUCUCUUCAAUUGCUAGAAAUAUUUUUCUCUCCAUCAUAGUGGAUGUUACCGUUUUAGUUGUUUAGAAUAGGCUUAAAAGAAGAUCUAUUUGUAAGACAACACAUAUUUUUAUGGAUAGCAUACUGAGUGUUAUAUACAUUUUAAAUUUGAAAUUCA